rnacentral:rRNA from 1 species
UACGUAGGGCGCAAGCGUUGUCCGGAAUUAUUGGGCGUAAAGAGCGUGUAGGCGGCCAGGUAGGUCUGCUGUGAAAACUCGAGGCUCAACCUCGAGACGUCGGCGGAAACCAUCUGGCUAGAGUCCGGAAGAGGAGAGUGGAAUUCCUGGUGUAGCGGUGAAAUGCGCAGAUAUCAGGAAGAACACCCGCGGCGAAGGCGGCUCUCUGGGACGGUACUGACGCUGAGACGCGAAAGCGUGGGGAGCGAACAGG